rnacentral:rRNA from 1 species
UACGUAGGGCGCAAGCGUUAUCCGGAAUUAUUGGGCGUAAAGAGCUCGUAGGCGGUUUGUCGCGUCUGCCGUGAAAGUCCGGGGCUCAACUCCGGAUCUGCGGUGGGUACGGGCAGACUAGAGUGAUGUAGGGGAGACUGGAAUUCCUGGUGUAGCGGUGAAAUGCGCAGAUAUCAGGAGGAACACCGGUGGCGAAGGCGGGUCUCUGGGCCGAUACCGACGCUGAGGAGCGAAAGUGUGGGGAGCGAACAGG